rnacentral:rRNA from 1 species
GACGAACCGAGCGAACGUUAUUCGGAAUCACUGGGCUUAAAGGGCGCGUAGGCGGGCCGUCAAGUCGAGGGUGAAAUCCCCCAGCUCAACUGGGGAAGUGCCUCCGAUACUGGCGGCCUCGAGGGGGUUAGGGGCAUGCGGAACUUCCGGUGGAGCGGUGAAAUGCGUAGAUAUCGGAAGGAACACCGGUGGCGAAAGCGGCGUGCUGGAUCCCUUCUGACGCUGAGGCGCGAAAGCCAGGGGAGCGAACGGG